AGGGGGGCACUGCGCAAGCAAAGCC
rnacentral:miRNA from 1 species